AGUGAACGCUGGCGGUAGGCCUAACACAUGCAAGUCGAACGGCAGCACAGUAAGAGCUUGCUCUUACGGGUGGCGAGUGGCGGACGGGUGAGGAAUACAUCGGAAUCUACUUUUUCGUGGGGGAUAACGUAGGGAAACUUACGCUAAUACCGCAUACGACCUACGGGUGAAAGCAGGGGAUCUUCGGACCUUGCGCGAUUGAAUGAGCCGAUGUCGGAUUAGCUAGUUGGCGGGGUAAAGGCCCACCAAGGCGACGAUCCGUAGCUGGUCUGAGAGGAUGAUCAGCCACACUGGAACUGAGACACGGUCCAGACUCCUACGGGAGGCAGCAGUGGGGAAUAUUGGACAAUGGGCGCAAGCCUGAUCCAGCCAUACCGCGUGGGUGAAGAAGGCCUUCGGGUUGUAAAGCCCUUUUGUUGGGAAAGAAAAGCAGCAGGUUAAUACCCCGCUGUUCUGACGGUACCCAAAGAAUAAGUACCGGCUAACUUCG
rnacentral:rRNA from 1 species